rnacentral:rRNA from 1 species
AACGCGAAGAACCUUACCUGGAUUUGACAUCCUGGGACAACCCGAGAGAUCGGGCUUUCGUAGCAAUACGACCCAGAGACAGGUGCUGCAUGGCUGUCGUCAGCUCGUGUGGUGACAUGUUGGGUUAAGUCCCGCAACGAGCGCAACCCCUGUCUUUAGUUGCCAGCAUUGAGUUGGGCACUCUAAAGAGACUGCCGUGGUGAACACGGAGGAAGGUGGGGAUGACGUCAAGUCCUCAUGGCCUUUAUAUCCAGGGCGACACACGUGAUACAAUGGACGGUACAAAGGGACGCCAAGAAGCAAUUCGGAGCUAAUCUCAAAAAGCCGUUCUCAGUUCGGAUUGGAGUCUGCAACUCGACUCCAUGAAGUUGGAAUCGCUAGUAAUCGCGGAUCAGCACGCCGCGGUGAAUACGUUCCCGGGCCUUGUACACACCGCGCAUA